CUAGAGGCUUGGAGGAUAGCGAAAGCGACGGAUGGACCGAGAGAAAGACAACGAAAACGUAAUCAGGGAAGAUAUGUUGAAAGUAGCGCUAAGGUGACAAAACAAGACAUGGGUUAUGAGAAAACAGAAUUUCUGAUUACAGAAGUACAGGAGCAGCUCUUAAAAGCAAGAUUUCCCCAUCUUGGAAAUAAAAUGCCUGUAAAACAUGGACCACUGGACACAGACGUUGCAGGAAUGACAACUGACAUCACCUUAAAAAAUCAUUGCCUUGCCUUGCCCGUGUGUUGUCGCCGAAAACGUUCCUGAAAUUGGUUUGGUGCUCAUUUCAGAUUUCCCCAGAUUGAUCUGGAGCAUUUGAACACAUUUCCAACGAUGUCAGUGUUUACCACACUGGAAUCUUUUAUAAUUAUCCGAGCACGGAUGACUGCCUCGUGUGUUUUGGAUGACAAUAAGGAAUACUCUUUUCCUCAAAAUGAAAAGUGGAGGGUUCAGUCUGCGGUUCACAUCCUCUGUUAAUUCAAAUGGAGAGGGAGUCGGUUGCUAUCUUUGGUUAUCUAGCUGUAUGAGUGUUAAUCAGCCGUCAUAAAGCUAGAUAACCGAAAGUAGAAAUGACUUCCAAACCUACCUACUUCAAAGCGAACGGAAGAACAGACCAUGGAGAGAAAUGUAAAAAUAAAUAAAAAAUCAUGAAAAUACAGACAGUAAGCAUGCGGUUAUGUGUGCUAUAAAGCAACAGCUAGAGGCUGGACCCAGUAAUUGUCCGAAACCAUUCCUCAUCAGUCCAAAUAUAUCAUCUGAAGCCUGAAGUUCCAUUGCAAAUGAUAUGGCAAGAAGAACAGCGACUGGCCGUUAUUCCUACCGUGCCUUGAUGGGAGGAGGGGAGGGGUGGGGGGGGGGGGGGAAAUGGCGCAGUCGUCAAAAAGAAAGGAGGAAAAAGAAUGGCCAACCCCUAUUCCCCUUUCCCUCCCACCUCACCCACCCCUGGGAGCCUUUAGUGCCAUCUGUGCCCCCUGAGAAACCAGAAAAAGCAAGACACUUCCACCCAGUGCCAACGGGGACAAAGAGGCUGCCAGUCGCCGGGGCCUCCGCCCCUGCCAGAUGCCAGAGAACUGUACGACAGCGCGUGUGUGUGUGCUGAGGAAGCCAUCUUGAUGGGAAAUCUUGCUUGCUGCUCCUAAAAUGGCUGUGUUGGCACGAGGUCUUGGAAUGGCGGUGAAGAUGUCAGCGUCCUCCAGGAGAGUGAGGAGCCAUCCCCUGACGCAGGCCAUCCUGUGCCACCUCAGGAAAAUGUGUGCCAACAUGAAUAUCAUUACCACCAAGCAGCAGAGGGCACGUGUGAAUUGGCUGUGGUGAUUUGUUGUUUUGCCGGCAAGAAGCAUCUUCCAACGUGGACUUGGAGAACCCCAAUGGACAGUGUUUUGAAUCACAAGAGUGGAAAAUCCACCGUGUGAAAUGACAUACUUCUAAAGUUCUGACCAUCUUCACCAGCUCCAUGGAUCCAGGGGGGCAGAAAUUGUUUGAAAUAUAUGUUGCACAAAGUUUAAUUCUAUCUGUGUCUUGUUUUAGAAGACAUGCAAAGUCUCUAAUGUGAAAAUGUUAUGAAGCCAGUGCAGCCUUAAUGGCAACCACAAAGAAAUAUUGGGGUGGAGAAAUGUGUUACUGCUACAUUUACAUUUGUGUGUUUAACUUUCAUUUGUUUUUUAUUGCUAAAUGCAUCAUUAUAUUUAUGUCCAAUGGAAAUAGACGGUUUGAAAGAUCUGUCAGCAGCAUUUGCACAUAGUAAAACUUGAAUUAUUUUUGUGUUUAUUGCAGUAUAUAUAACCUUUGGGUGUAAACACAAAUGUGUUAGCAAUGUGUCAUCUGUCUUGGAUCUCAAUGAUUAGCACACCUGUCUGUUUAAGCUAAAUAUGCAACAUAAAUCAAGCAGGCAGCUUGCAUGUAUGUAUGAGGAAUGCUUUGUUAAAUGCACUAUAUUGAAAAAAUGGGGUGUUUGUGGAUAUAUGAGGAGAUGAUAUGAAAGCACAUGACACGUGCUUCUGCAUUUGGUUUCGUUUGUUCUGAGGAUCCUCACAUGCUUUGUGGUGGUCAGUGAAGGACCGGAACAAGGAACAAAAAGUGCCUUAAUGUGUGAGGUGUUUACACUGAAACUUGUAACUUUGAUAUCUUUGAUAGAAUUCUGUUUGCUUCUGAAAAUUGAGCUGGCUGCUUUCUACAAAUAAAUAUGUGCAAUUCUUU